rnacentral:SRP_RNA from 1 species
GCCAGGCAUGGUGGCACAUGCCUGUAGUCCCAGCUACUUGGGAGGCUGAGGCAGGAGAAUCGCUUGAACUCAGGAGGCAGAGGUUGCAGUGAGCUGAGAUAGCACCACUGCACUCCAGCCUGGGUGACAGAGCGAGACUCUGUCUCAA